AGUGAACGCUGGCGGUAGGCCUAACACAUGCAAGUCGAACGGCAGCACAGUAAGAGCUUGCUCUUACGGGUGGCGAGUGGCGGACGGGUGAGGAAUACAUCGGACUCUACUUUUUCGUGGGGGAUAACGUAGGGAAACUUACGCUAAUACCGCAUACGACCUACGGGUGAAAGCAGGGGAUCUUCGGACCUUGCGCGAUUGAAUGAGCCGAUGUCGGAUUAGCUAGUUGGCGGGGUAAAGGCCCACCAAGGCGACGAUCCGUAGCUGGUCUGAGAGGAUGAUCAGCCACACUGGAACUGAGACACGGUCCAGACUCCUGCGGGAGGCAGCAGUGGGGAAUAUUGGACAAUGGGCGCAAGCCUGAUCCAGCCAUACCGCGUGGGUGAAGAAGGCCUUCGGGUUGUAAAGCCCUUUUGUUGGGAAAGAAAAGCAGCAGGUUAAUACCCCGCUGUUCUGACGGUACCCAAAGAAUAAGCACCGGCUAACUUCGUG
rnacentral:rRNA from 1 species